rnacentral:rRNA from 1 species
CAGUCGCCGCGGUAAAACGUAGGUGGCAAGCGCUGUCCGGAAUUAUUGGGCGUAAAGCGCGCGCAGGUGGUUUAAUAAGUCUGAUGUGAAAGCCCACGGCUCAACCGUGGAGGGUCAUUGGAAACUGGGAAACUUGAGUGCAGAAGAGGAGAGUGGAAUUCCACGUGUAGCGGUGAAAUGCGUAGAGAUGUGGAGGAACACCAGUGGCGAAGGCGACUCUCUGGUCUGUAACUGACGCUGAGGAGCGAAAGCGUGGGGAGCGAACAGGAUUAGAUACCCCAGUAGUCCCUGUCUCUUAUAC